rnacentral:rRNA from 1 species
UACGUAGGGUGCAAGCGUUACUCGGAAUUACUGGGCGUAAAGCGUGCGUAGGUGGUGAGUUAAGUCUGUCGUGAAAGCCCCGGGCUCAACCUGGGAAUGGCGAUGGAUACUGGCUCGCUAGAGUGCGGUAGAGGAGAGUGGAAUUCCCGGUGUAGCAGUGAAAUGCGUAGAGAUCGGGAGGAACAUCAGUUGCGAAGGCGGCUCUCUGGACCAGCACUGACACUGAGGCACGAAAGCGUGGGGAGCAAACAGGA